AGGUUUCGGAAGAGAUAGGCUUUCUUUGUUAUCUAAAGAUAAAUAUGCGAAGAUUCAGUUGUGGGUUACAAACAAUGUGACUGAUGAGAUAAAUAUGCGAAGAUUCAGUUGUGGGUUACAAACAAUGUGACUGAUGAGAUUGUCUCGUGGAGCAAGUAUUUUAAUAUGACUCCCCCAUAUCUCCCGAUAAUAUCCUGUGGGUUUUUCCGUAAUAUGGCAUUCUUCAUCCACAAGACCAAUAUGAUCAUGUUAUGGUGCCUGGAAGAAGAUAUCCAAAAUAAAAAUAUAUACGUCAACGUUUACGAAAUAGGUGAGGAUGUGGUCGAGAAACAAGUUGAGACAGAACGACAUCGAUGGUGUGAUCAGGCUUCCUUUCG
rnacentral:lncRNA from 1 species